rnacentral:lncRNA from 1 species
CCAGAUGAUAAAGAUUGCACCUCUGCAAUUCUUAAUCGAUCCACGUGAAGUUAAACGCAUCCAAAUCACAUUAGAACAAGCGGGAAGAAAAAAUAUUACGGCGAAUCACAUCAUAGCGAUCAAAAAGAAGCAAAGAAAGCAAGAAUUCGGAAUCAUAUUGCGUUCUUGGACUGAUCUAAUGGCAGAAUGGAAAUCAAGAAGCUUGUAUGACCCGGUCCCUUGAUCACCGAGAACAAAGCUUUCUCCCACGCGAAUGUUAAAGCAAGGGCGGAAAAGUUCGGAAAGAAAAAAAAAAAAAGAAUACAUGAGAGGAGGGGAGGAAGAGGACUCCGAUCGGGAGUCUUCUUCCCUCCCGAAUCCAUUAAAAACCAUAACUGAGAAAACGCCUUCCUUAGAUUUUCAUCAUCAAAUUUGUGAGAAAACGCCGCCGAUUCCGAGUUCUUCAUCGAGUCCUUUCUUUGGGAUUUCGCCGAGAGAUCGCCGGUUUCCCCUUUUUCAGCCUUCUCGGAUCUAGGUAAGUUAUUUAAGACUUUAUUGCACUCUUUUCCCAGGCUUAUUGCCUCCGAUUAGAGCCGGCAAACCGCCGGAUUUGGGCAAGAAUGGGGUCUCCCCUGCUCCGAGUUUUCUUCCUCUAUUUUGCCCACCACCGGCGGCAGUGGCCGCUAACGGGGUCAUGUCCCAGUCUGUGCCGGGUGCUGCCGUUGGCCACCGGCCAGGAUUCCACGGCCUUGGCCGGAUGAAAAGGGGAGAAGAACAGAGGUUCCGGUGCUCUGUUUUGAAGAAGAAGAAGAAGGGAGUGAGAGGCCUGCCUCUCCCCUCUCCUUUUUUAUUUUGCUUCUUC